UCGGUGUAAUGUGCGCACUUCCAUAUUACAUGCCCAUAUACUGAUCAACUGCCCGACUAAACUAUCGGCAGACGAAAAACCGAUGGUCUGCGCCUAGGCUUAAGGUAUAAGUCCAGAUGGGCUGCAGACUGCAACCGCAAGCGACAAUGCAGUUGACCGCAGUGAAAAAGCAAAAGUCAAAGAAAGAUGCAGUUUGCGGUCUGCACUCCAUCCACUUAUAAAAGCGUCGGCGCUGAGCGAUCAGCGUCACUCGAGAACGUUUCCUUGACAUAUUGAUCUGUCAGCGCUGACGAUCAGCGAGCGGUCAGCGCAAUAAAUUCUAAACUCACAUUAGACGAUAUGACCCGGACAUUAGUAGUCCGUUUGCUGGACUACACUCGGAAAAUUGUGUGACGACGACAUGAAAAAUGGUACAUACCAACAGUUGGUUGGAGGUAAGUUAGUCCACCUCUGGUUGAGGAUUCCGGAUGAAGCUUGCUUCCAACUUGCAGUUGUAGCAGUCUUGCACACACACGACUGAUGUUCUGCAGUUUCAGUGUAUAAAUUCGUGUACAGAAUGGAUGGAUGCUUGGAAUCGGACAAUGUGUGGUAUGGUGCACUAUUAGUGUAUAAACUGCUAUUUUGUUGUAAUAAACUUAGAUUUAAGUAAGUUUCUUCGUAUUAUUUUUCAUCUUUGCUAUAUUUAAUUGACAACAACUAGGCCUGCUUUCCACCAAAGCUGUGUUUUUACACAGAGCACAAUAUUUUUUUUAAUAACGACAGAUGAUGUGGAAAUGACGAAAUUAAUUAUGAUAAAAAUCUGAAGGUAUCUUACAAAUAUUUGACACUAAUGGUUUUCACAAAAUAGUUUUAAUAUGAGGGUAGAUAUUUUUUUAAAGAUGAAAAAUUUGUUUAUAGGAGUUUGGUUUGUAAAAGGAAAGACAGUAUUUUUUAUAUUUAUUUAUUUCUCUUGUAAUAACAUUCGGUACAGUGGCCUAAACGCGUCGAGAAUAAUUUUGUAUACACCGUUUUUACAGAGAAACGAAAUUGAUUCGUUAUGAUCAUAGAGAAUUUGAAUAUAUCUACCUACAUGCCUUAUAUAAAACCAUAUCUACACCUAAACCUAGGUUGUCAGACCAGGCCCGGGCGCCUAGUCUACUGGAACUUGGCGAGCAGUAGUGGCCGUGAAGACGAGCGAUUCAUUUAAGUAGGAGAUAUAUUGUAUCCAUCAUUUCAACAAACAAAAGGUUUGUAGGUUAUUUAAGUAUUGCUUUAAAGUUGUAGGUUUUCUCGUAUUGUUUUACUUGCAGCACAUACUACAUGGAAUAUGAUGGACUAAAAUGUGAUUUAGUUUCACGUAUGCGUUCAACUGUGUAUAAUUUUGAACUUCAUGUUCGGCCAACUACUUCAGGUUUUUAAAAUAAAUUUUGUUAUGUAUUUUAAUCAGUCACACAAGAAACAGCAGCGAAACAGCUUAUACUAAAGGAAAUCCCCACCAGAGAAUGAAUCAUGUUGACAGUCCACAGAACCCUGCAGACAAGCAGCAAUACUUACAAUGUUGUACUAGUUUAUAAAAAAUAUAACACUGUUUCGGUGGGUACAUUAAUAAAUUACCUAAUGUCCAGUUUGUUAAAUUAUAGUUUGGUUUUCUUUAAUAUUGAAAAUGUGAUGUUUAGUUUAAAUUCUUCUUAGUGCAAAAGUGGUCUAUAUGAACUCAAAGAAUCAUAUAAACCUACAGAUUUAAUAUUAAUAAAAAUCAAACUAUCAUUUUGUACCAAACACCUAAUUUAUAAUUGGUUCGACAGUUUUGGAAUCGAGUAUUUGAGAUUGCUAUAUAAUAAUUAAUUACAAUUGGCAUCAUUUUAUAAAUCAAUACAUCGCGUCGAGGAGCGG